AGUAAAUAGAUACCCGGGUAGUCCACGCCGUAAACGAUGAGUACUAGGUGUAGGAGGUAUCGACUCCUUCUGUGCCGCAGUUAAACACAAUAAGUACUCCGCCUGGGAAGUACGGUCGCAAGAUUAAAACUCAAAGGAAUUGACGGGGGCCCGCACAAGCAGCGGAGCAUGUGGUUUAAAUUCGAAGCAACGCGAAGAACCUUACCUAGACUUGACAUCUCCUGAAUAGUGUAGAGAUACAUGAAGCCCUUCGGGGCAGGAAGACAGGUGGUGCAUGGUUGUCGUCAGCUCGUGUCGUGAGAUGUUGGGUUAAGUCCCGCAACGAGCGCAACCCUUAUUACUAGUUGCUACCAUUAAGUUGAGCACUCUAGUGAGACUGCCCGGGUUAACCGGGAGGAAGGCGGGGAUGACGUCAAAUCAUCAUGCCCCUUAUGUCUAGGGCAACACA
rnacentral:rRNA from 1 species